rnacentral:rRNA from 1 species
UACGUAGGGAGCAAGCGUUGUCCGGAUUUACUGGGUGUAAAGGGUGCGUAGGCGGCUUUGCAAGUCAGAAGUGAGAUCUAUGGGCUUAACCCAUAAACUGCUUUUGAAACUGCAGGGCUUGAGUGAAGUAGAGGUAGGCGGAAUUCCCGGUGUAGCGGUGAAAUGCGUAGAGAUCGGGAGGAACACCAGUGGCGAAGGCGGCCUACUGGGCUUUAACUGACGCUGAGGCACGAAAGCGUGGGUAGCAAACAGG